CGGUAUUUCUAUGAUAUAAAGCUUUGGGUGUGUUUUCAAAUAACUCAAGACACAAGAGGGGGUAAAGUAUCGUAAGCUAACGGAAAAUUGAGUUAUUUGGGGUCUCCUUCCCACUCUAGAUCUCCCCUAAAAGCAUGCAAAACAAAAUCGGAACUUAACUAAAAAGAGAGGUUUUAUUGUGAAGGCUGUGCUCUGCCUUUCAGAGAAGAGGAGGAGGUCAGACUUGGCUCAGUAAGAUUUCCAGUAGAAAGUUAGCAGAGAAGAGAAGAGAAUCCCGUUUUUUUCCGGGGUUGGUUGGCAGCACUGGUCUCAGUUUUAUUGGGAAAAGGAAAAAAAAUGUUGGCUUGUCCUUGGGUGUUCCCGUUGAUGAGUGACAAAUGAAAUGGGGCAGGUAAGGGGGAAACGAAACAGACAUAUCAGGUAGACUUAAUAAGCCGGCCGACUUGCGAACGCCGCCGCUUCAACAGUGUUCUCCUAAAGUGAAACGUUAACGUGAGGACAGCCACAAAUCUCUGGGGGAGAGGACCACUUAACAGAGUUUCCACAUGAGAAAAAGGGUUCAACAAGCACUUUUAAAAUCAAAGUCCCAUUAGUCAAAAAGGUACACUUACAUAAAGCAAAUAUGUACGCCUCUUUUUAUACAAGUCGUUAUAAGCAGGAGAAAACAGCGGUAGGAGAGAAGACCAUAUAAAUUCAAAGCAUUGCCUCCUUAUUUACAAAUUCACCAUGUAGGCUUUCUCAGUGCUUUUAUAAAAAUACUAUUCACAUUUGUUGUUGUUGAAGUGUGUUAGAUAAGAUCUGGAGGGAAACCCCAAAGAUUCUGUACAUUUAUACUGAUUCCAUAAUUUAAAACACAAGAAAUGUAUGAAUGACUUCCGUUUAUGUGAGCAAUGAAUUGUGCAAUUCAACUAAACAACUGAAAAGUUGCGGCUAGCGUGACAAACGUGUUAAAUAUUUGCAGGAACAAACACGAUAGUGGUGAAAAAAAAUCAUACAAGUUCAAGUCUUUUUUUUCCUUGAAGAAACACAUCCUUGAUAAUAUGGAGAAAAAAACUUGGUUACAUAAGGUACUAUACAUUAAAAAAAGACUUCAGUAAUAAGAGCUCCCAGUUUGUGCUACUGAAUUCAGUAAAAAAAAUCCGCCGACUUCCUCCCGCGCUGUCCACUUCCCGGACAGACGUUUGAAUAUACUGUUUUCAAUGAAGUGAUAAAAAGAUGGAGGGCAGUUGGACACUCACGUCGGGUACCAUGCAAGGUGAAAGUGUACUAUACAUUAGACUCUUAUCGCACCCAGUAUGGUAGGUAUGAAAUAUCAAAGGGUUCACUUCAGAACAACAUGGCUACAUGCCUCUGCACCUUGGCGUGGACGAAAAUAACACGAAGAGUGAUCGGUCGUAACGCAUGAUGUCACGGUUUAACUGCUGUCGACCUUAUUCACAUGGCAGCCACUUUCCUUUGACAUAAACAGCUGAAAUUUUAUUUAAAGGGACAGUUGUUUUUUAUUUUUUCGGAGUAGGGUUGUAUUAUAUAAGGGUAAAGAUUCAAUCGGAAAAUGGGCGAUGGGCCGUCCAUCAAAAAUAUCAAAAAAAUCUUAGUUAAUAUACUUUUAACCAGAUUGAAAAAGGGAACUAUUAUUACCUUUAAUGCCAGACUUCAGUGAUCUAUGUUGCUAAUUGUAUCAGCAUCUAGCUAGCUAAAAAUACUUAUUGUUAAAAAAAAAACUUAAUAAAUAAACAAAUGUAUAGAGAAUAGACAGUAAAAGGGUGGAUACUGUAGCUGAAUUCUCUUGUGAGCUUUUUCUGAUGGUAGCUAAUAGGUUGUUCGCUUUGGUGGUAUUAUUUUAGCCAUUAACAACAUUAUGUAAACCGCGUAUGUGUAAUCUCAAUGACUAUCCAUCGGCUUACAAAGCAGAGUUUGAGCAAUGUCUGCCUGCACAUUGGAAAUGCUGGCUCAUCCAAACUUUUGGUCGAUUUUGCAAGAGGCAAAGAGACGGGCCUUUCGCCUCCUCGUUAAAAGCAAAAAUGCGCCGUUCUAUCAGUCAAGGUAACCAACUUUUCCAAAACUAAUAAUUUAUAUCAAGAAAUUUAUAUUUGUACCAAACCAUACUCUUUCGUUGUAAAAAUUGUCAUUUUAAGAUGGAUGUUAGUGGAGUUUUCUAAGUUUUUGGGGCCACCCUCUAGUGGACACUCAAGGUACUACAGUUUGAAGCACUUUUCACUCUCUGUUGUUUUUCCUGUUGCUUUUUCUUUAUUUUAAACCCGAUAAAGCCAUCAAAUCCCUAAAGCCAUCAGUUUUAUUAAAUAAAAUAUAUAACUGUAGUUUAGGCCCCCAUCUUUAGCGUAAUGUCAAGGAAAAGUGGCUGUUAUCUGGAUAUGGCGUCUAUUUGGCAGAGAAUGGUCAUGGCUGUGACAGAUAGCAGCAGGUUACAAAGGCAGACGCCAAGGCAAAAUAUCUUUGAAACAAGAAAGGAGGAAUUCAACUACUUUUUGGCGCUUCUGUAGAAUUCAGCAAGGCUUUUGGGUGACAGGAACAACCCUGGAUGAACUCACUGAGACUGGGUUGUCUUGCGAGGAAAAUCAAAGAUAGAUAGAUCCAGUUUUCUGAAGAGUAAAUGAAGCUGUUUGUCCUCAACAGUGUUUCAGCUUUAUCUUUUCUUGAUUCAUCAUAUAUUUUGCCCAGAUCUG
rnacentral:lncRNA from 1 species